AGUGAACGCUGGCGGUAGGCCUAACACAUGCAAGUCGAACGGCAGCACAGUAAGAGCUUGCUCUUACGGGUGGCGAGUGGCGGACGGGUGAGGAAUACAUCGGAAUCUACUUUUUCGUGGGGGAUAACGUAGGGAAACUUACGCUAAUACCGCAUACGACCUACGGGUGAAAGCAGUGGAUCUUCGGACCUUGCGCGAUUGAAUUAGCCGAUGUCGGAUUAGCUAGUUGGCGGGGUAAAGGCCCACCAAGGCGACGAUGCGUAGCUGGUCUGAGAGGAUGAUCAGCCACACUGGAACUGAGACACGGUCCAGACUCCUACGGGAGGCAGCAGUGGGGAAUAUUGGACAAUGGGCGCAAGCCUGAUCCAGCCAUACCGCGUGGGUGAAGAAGGCCUUCGGGUUGUAAAGCCCUUUUGUUGGGAAAGAAAAGCAGCAGGUUAAUACCCCGCUGUUCUGACGGUACCCAAAGAAUAAGCACCGGCUAACUUCGUG
rnacentral:rRNA from 1 species